rnacentral:lncRNA from 1 species
UGCCUCCUGAGUAAUCCUUGGGAGCGCGAAAAAGUUUUGAAACUUUCGGCGACGUCAAUAGUAAACUAAAUCUGGCCCUCCAGAAAGGAUACACGGGACACCUGCGCACAAACGUUGGAUUUUGUCCUGCAUCGUCCGAAAGGAAGCAGGCUAUGAGCCAAGGGGAAGGCAGAGGACAAAAAUGAAUGUGCUCCCAAGCUUUCCCGGUGGUGUAUGGCAUUCUCCAAACUCCUAUGCGAGGGCUGUUCCUGACCGAGAAGACCCAAGGAGACCGUCUCUGAAAUCAAGUCCAGAUGAAGAA